UUGUGAUGGGAUGAUGAGCUGCUUGUGCGUAAAAUCGUAUCCCCUCAGAGUUUGUUCAAGUCCACAAACCUCUGUCUGUGACGGAGCCCCUCAGACAUGGCUCCUCUAGUCACUAGCAGAUUCCGACAGUGGUUGCUUUCGUAAUCGCUUCCAACAUAAAAGCUCCUUAACGGAAACACGUCUUCUGGACUCUCUGCGUGACAGUUUCCGGCGAGGAGUGGGUGUUCUUACAGGAGGUCCUGAAACCUCCCCACUGUUUUCGCUGGAAGUGUCUCUGAGCCAUCCCUCCAGCUCAGCUCCUCUCCCCCUGCUGGUUCCCUCUUCAGCUGCUGAGUCUCUCCCAACCUGUGUGAGCCCUUUCACCUCCCUGCUGGUUCCCUCUUCAGCUGCUGAGUCUCUCCCAACCUGUGUGAGCCCUUUCACCUCCCUUCCGUCCGAUGGCAGUUCCCUGACAUCCACCUCCCCUCCAGGGCCCCCUUCACCCCCUCUCGCCCCCUCCUCUACGGGCGGUGAGGAGGCAAAACCCCGGAAUGAACUUCCUUCAUCUUCCGAUGUCUCGAACACUUCUCUCCACCUGUUGCGGUUCCUGGUCUCGAAGUACACCUCCUCCUCAGAGUCCAUCUCCCCUUCCCCUUCCGAGUCCGGGAAUCCUUCCAACUCCUCCCCCUCAUCAGUGGUCCCAAAGUAUUCCCUCCGGAACCUCUCCACAGGCUGAGGUUUCCUUGGGAACCUUUGAUGGAACGUUUCUAUCAAUACCUCGUCAUUGAUAUCUUCGGCCAUUACCCAAGUGUUUUCUGACUCCGGUUCUCCUUCCCACGCUACCAAAUACUCCACCUGAUCCCCCUUCCACCUGGCGUCGAGGAUUUCUGCCACAUGGCUGCUGCAUUCUCUUUCUUCUAUGACCGGUCCGCCAUCCCUUCUCGUCCCCCUUCGUACGGUGACAGUAACGACCUGUGAAAUACUGGGUGCAGUUUCAUGUGGUUGGGUAACCGGAGCCUGAAAGCCACUGGGUUGACCUGUUGAAUGACCUCAAAGGGACCCAACCUCCUGGGUCUUAAUUUCUUACAACCUCCUUUGAACGGCACCCCUUGGGUUGACAGCCACACCCUAUCUCCCACCCUUAUGGUUUCACCUUCCCUUCGGUUCUUGUCUGCCUGCCUCUUGUAUUCUUCCUUCGCCCUUUCUAAGUUGAGUUGGAGCUGACGAUGGAUUGCUUCCAUUUCUUCCACAAAAUGCUCGGCUGCCGGGACGCUCCAUCUCUCCCCAUCUCCCCCUGGGAAAGCCCUGGGAUGACACCCAUAAUUAGCCAAGAAGGGGCUCAUCCCUGUGGACACAUUCUCGGCAUUGUUGUAGGCAAAUUCCGCCAGCGCCAACUUUUCUACCCAGUCAUUCUCUCUGUCAUUGACAUAACACCUCAGGUAUUGCUGGAGGACACCGUUUGCUCUUUCCGCCUGCCCGUUGGUUUCAGGGUGCCGGGCAGUCGAAAAAUUGACCUCCACCUGCAGUAAGCUCAUGAGCUUCCUCCAGAACCUGGAAGUAAAUUGUUUUCCUCGGUCUGAGACCACCCUCAAUGGCACCCCGUGCAACCUAAAAAUGUGUUCUACAAAUAACCGCUGUCUCUUCCGCCGUGACUGCAUGCGAGCAAGCUACAAAGUGGCACAUCUUUGUUAGUAGGUCUACCACCACCAUGAUGGCUGUUUUCCCUUUGGACUUCGGCAGAUCAGUCAUAAAAUCUAUCGACACUGCCUCCCAAGGUCGUUCUGGGGUUGGUAAGGGUUCUAAUAGCCCCGCCGGCGCCCGCCUUUCCCCUUUGGCUCGCUGGCAUUGCUCGCACCCUCUUACAUACUCACGUACAUCUUCCCUCACCUUAGGCCACCAAAAUUCCCUGGUGACCAACCACAUGGUUUUGUGUUGUCCAAAAUGCCCGCGCCGUAGGGCUGUCGUGCAACUGCUUGAGUACCCUCCCCCUUAACUCUCCUUCAGGGAUAUACAGUGCCCCUUUGUAAUACAAAGCUCCAUUUCUUUCCUCGAAACCCCUGGUUCCUCUCCCUCACCCCUAAGACCUCUGAGCUUAUUCUGGGCGUAUUCAUCAUUCUCUGUUUCCUCUACCAGUUCUCUUUGUCCCACCAAUGCCGCCCCACACACCCAGCGGUCCUCUGGAAUGACAUGUCUCUCUUCGGGUGCUCCCUCCCCCUCCAAAUAUUCAGGUUUGCGUGAGAGAGCGUCCGCCCUAAUGUUCUCUGGGCCUGGCACGUAACAAAUCUCAAAGUUAAAUUUGGAGAACUCCUGGGCCCAUCUCACUUGCCGUUGGUUGAGCACUCGUGCCGUCCUCCAAUACUCUAGGUUCUUGUGGUCAGUGCACACUUGCACCUUAUGUUGUGCGCCAAUUAGCAGGUGCCUCCAUCUCCGGAACGCCUCAUGAAUGGCUAGUAGUUCUCGGUCAUACACCGUGUAGUUCCUCUCGGAUUUGUUCAGCUUUCGCGAAAAAAAGGCACACGGUCUCCACUCUGACUCCUUCUUCCCUGGCUGCAGAAGCACCGCCCCAAUCGCUCUGUCUGAUGCGUCAGUUUCCACUCUCAUCGGUUUUUGUAAAUCCACAUGCAGGAGUUGUUGUUCCGAGGCGAAGGCCCUUUUAGUUCCUCAAAUGCUCGCUCCGCCUCCUCAGUCCAAACGAACUUCUUCUUACUGCUGAGACAGUCCGUAAUGGGCGCCGUCAGGUGGGCAAAGUUUCGGAUGAACUUACGAUAGAAGUUCCCAAAUCCUAGGAACCUCUGCACAUCCUUCCUUGUUUUGGGUGUUUUCCAUUCCAGCACCGCCUGGACCUUGCCGGGAUCCAUGGCCAAUCCCUUGUCUGACAGGCGAUACCCCAGGAAUUCCACCUCCUUGGUAUGAAACUGACACUUCUCCAGUUUCACCCACAGCUGGUUGGCUUGCAGCCUGCUCAACACUUCUCUGACGUCUCUCACAUGCUGCUCCUCAUUCUCAGAAUACACCAACACGUCGUCUAAAAAGGCCACACAAUUCUUGUAAAGCAAAGGCCCCAGGACGUGGUUCAUAAACGAUUGAAAUGUUGCGGAGCCUGCUUGUAGGCCGAAGGGCAUAACCAAAUAUUCAAAUGCCCCUAAAGGGGUGAACAUAGUGGUUUUCCAUUCAUCCCCCUUCCUUAUUCGUACCAGGUUGUACGCCCCCCUUAGGUCCAGCUUUGUGAAAAUCUUUCCCUUCCGCACCCUUGUCAAAAUGUCGUCAAUCCUGGGCAUAGGGAAGGCCACUGGUUCUGACACUGCAUUUAAGGCCCUGAAGUCACACACCAGCCUCGGCUUGUUCGUGUUUUUUUUAUCCACAAAAAACACUGGGCUGCCCCCACCGCCCUGGACUCUCUGAUGAACCCUCUCUUCAGGUUCUUGUCAAUGAACUCUCUUAACUCCUGCAUCUCUCUGUCUGACAUGGCGUACAGCUUGCCUACAGGGAGCUGUGCUCCAGGGAGUAAAUUGAUUUGACAGUCAAAGGGUCUAUGCGGGGUAGUUGGUCAGCUUCCCUUUCGCUGAAGACGUCACGGAGAUCUGCAUAUUGUCGUGGUACCUUCACGUUCUCCGUUACUUCAGUCCCUGCUAGGGUGGCUUGGGCCCCUGCCAAACCCUUUCCCUCUUUGCAGUGUUCUAAGCAAUGUGCUGAACCAAAAGAAACCACUCUCUGAUGCCAGCCCACCAGCGGAUCAUGUAACGCUAGCCAGCUCAUCCCCAAUAUAAUGGGAGCUCCUCCCAAGGUGGCCACAUUAAAAGCUAUCAGUUCGGUGUGCCUUGCUACCUUCAUUAUCAUUGGGACGGUCUGCAAGCUGACUUCUCCUCCCAACAGCUCCCUGCCAUCGAUCGUGGUCACCUGCAGGGGGUUGCUUAAAGGGAUCGUCUGUAUCUGGUGUUCAGCUGCAAACUCUUUGCUCAUGAAAUUGCAGGAGCUGCCUGAGUCCAACAGCGCCUUUAUCUUUAGAGGGUGUCCGUUUGGCAGCUCUAGCGUCACUUCUAUCACUAGGGCGGGUUUAGGAGGUUCUGGCGUGGGCACUCUCACUGCUCUUUGGCCUGGCUGCUGUGCCCCGACAGUGGCAGCCAGGCGUUGGCUUUUACUUGCUCCGGUAUUUCUUCCUCUCUUCCAUCCACAGCUCCUACCAUCCCUUGCCAUUCCUUCCUCUGGGGGCAGACUCUGGCAAAGUGACCUGGCUGUUGGCAGAGAUAGCAUUUCCGGGCGCCUUUUCCCUCCUUCUUUCCCCCUCACUGGGCUUUGAAACUGCGCGCGCGCGCUGUUCCGAUUUCCAUCGGCUCUGCCGGCGGGAAAGUUGGCUCUGGAAUGUCUGGAAUGCGGAACUCCUUCCAACGUUCCCCUUUCCCUUCCCGCCUCUCCAAUGCUCUCGCCUCCUGGCGCGCUCCUAUGGUCAGCGCUGAUUUGGUCAGCUGGUCCAUAGACUCCGCCCUGGGCGCCCGGGAAAGUUCGUCUUUCACAGCCGAAGAAAGCCCUUCUUCAAAGAGCAUUUGAAUGGGUUCCGCCGAUAAGUCCCACCCCAAUCUGUGAACAAGCAUGGUGAACUCAGUCCAGUACUCACGGACAGAUCGGCUCCCCUGUUUGCAAGCCAUUAACUGUCUGCGCACCACUCCCUGUUCAAUAUCGCUGGAAAACAUCAGAUCCAUGGCGCGAAAGAACUUCAUCGUGUCCUUUAGGACGUCACUAUUCGCUGCCAUCAGGGGUCUAACCCAGUCUCUCGCCCCCUUUUCAAGAUGCUCAAUCACGAAAGCCACUCGUGAUUCCUCGUCAGGGAAUUCAUCAAACUGCAGAUUGAGGGCAUAUUGCAUUUCUGUCCGAAAGCCAUGAUAGUUUUGGGCUCCCCCCCAAACUUCUGCACCAAUCCUGGUACCUUUCUGGCGAGCUGGGUGGCUUUCCCCUUUUUGUCUGCAUCCUGAGCCCUCCUCUCCUCAAGCCUCGCCGUCUGCAUCGCUAGCUGGACCUCCAACACCCGGUACCUUUCUUCCAGGCUUGGACCCGCUCCAGCUCCUGCUUCUCCGGUUCCGGCUGGGUUGCUCAUGAUGCCUUCUCCUGCACAAGCUGCUUUCAAAGACUGUCGGAAUGCUGUGAUGGGAUGAUGAGCUGCUUGUGCGUAAAAUCGUAUCCCCUCAGAGUUUGUUCAAGUCCACAAACCUCUGUCUGUGACGGAGCCCCUCAGACAUGGCUCCUCUAGUCACUAGCAGAUUCCGACAGUGGUUGCUUUCGUAAUCGCUUCCAACAUAAAAGCUCCUUAACGGAAACACGUCUUCUGGACUCUCUGCGUGACAGUUUCCGGCGAGGAGUGGGUGUUCUUACAGGAGGUCCUGAAACCUCCCCACUGUUUUCGCUGGAAGUGUCUCUGAGCCAUCCCUCCAGCUCAGCUCCUCUCCCCCUGCUGGUUCCCUCUUCCCAGCUGCUGAGUCUCUCCCAACCUGUGUGAGCCCUUUCACCUCCCUGCUGGUUCCCUCUUCAGCUGCUGAGUCUCUCCCAACCUGUGUGAGCCCUUUCACCUCCCUUCCGUCCGAUGGCAGUUCCCUGACA